rnacentral:miRNA from 1 species
AUCUGGUCUGAAGACACAUUGUU